UUUACAGAAGAACGGCUUUACACUUAAAAAGGAAAGGAAGUGAAAUACUGCUGGUGGUAGCGGUGUCACCUAAGAUGCAAGUCAAGCAGAAUUUCUUAAUGUUGGAAGUGUGACCGCAGCAUUUUUACUAUUACCUACCCAGUGUUCUCAGUGAGCUGGGUUUUGAGAUGUGUGACUUCGGAAGUAUGUGGCUCUCGAGAGCAGCGUGAAGAUGUGUUACAUG
rnacentral:lncRNA from 1 species